GAAAGCCUGCCUGGCACUCCAGAAACUGCAGGAGGCUCAUGUGGCUGGAGUGGAGUGAGGAAGGGGUGGAGGCCAAGAGAUGAGGUCAAAAAGGCGGUAAGAGCCAGGUCUUGCGGAGCCUCCUGGGCUACUUGCUUCUACUGCGCGUGAGAUGGAAAACAUUGGAAGCCUUUGGGCUGAGGACAUGUUCAUAUCCAAUCACCUCUGGCCCUGCACCUCGGCAUCUCCAUGCCAGAGGCAGAGAAGUGUUGGCCUCGAGCUCUGCCUAUGAUUUUCCUGCAGAACUAAACUACCACACCUUAACCUGCUCUCCUCAGGGGUGAAUCAAUUCAGUGUCUUUCCUCUUGGCAGACUCUCAGGAAGGAUGUAAUUAUAGAUGAUGACUUCUGAGAAGUAGGAUGGUGUCCAGCUUGAUGUGCAAAUGGCCCCAACAUAUCAGCAGCAAACAAAGGCUGUUGCCACAGGUGUGACUUUGCAAGUAAUUGCUCAGACUUUGCCUUCAGAACCUGUUCUAUAUUUCCAGUGGUGCUGCUUAUAUGUGCAGCAUUAGCCAGAUUCUUCAGUAGUAUUCAUUCAACAAAUGCUUAUUGAGAGCCUUUUAUGAGCCAAGUACUGUUAGGUACUGGAGAUGUAGUGCCCAUUGAAUUUUUCUUUGAGAAAUUUUAUUUUUACCAAGCUCCCAAGAGGUAGAACUUUAUGUCAUUUUUAAAGUAAGUGAUUUCAGGCAAGUUUCAUAAAACAAAUCUAUAUAUAAAAGUCACCCAGGCUGCAGUGAUCUCAGCUCACUGCAACCUCCACUCCCCACCACUCCCCCACCCCGCCUGCCAGCUCAAGUGAUCCUCCCACCUCAGCCUCCCAAGUGGCUGGGACCACAGGCGUACACCACCACACCCAGCCUUUUUUUUUUUUUUUUUUUUUUUUUUAGUAGAAAUUGGGUCUCACCAUGUUGCCCAGGCUGGUCUCAAACACCUGAGCUCAAGUUAUCCACCCACCUCAGCCUCCCAAAGUGCUAGGAUUACAGGCAUGAGACACUGUGCCUGGCUGAAAUUUUUAAGAUUAUUGUGGUGGACCACCAAUUUGGUGGCCCACACUGAACUAUUUCUCUAAGUAUUUAUACCCUUGUGUAGUCUCCUAUCCCUCUUGAUUUUGAGCUGGGCUGUGAUCUGCUUUAAUUAACAGGAUAUAGUAGAAGUGGUGUUGUGCCAAUUCCAGGUGUAAGGCCACGAAGAGCUGGCAGUUUCUGCUUUUGUGGUUUUGAGAUCCCUUAGCUACCAUGAGCAAAGACCUGCUACUCUGCUGGAGAAACUGUGUGGAGAGUCCACUUGGAAAGGGAGUGGCUCUGAGACUACAGGGAAAGGGAGAGAAGCUCAGACAUUCCAGUGUCCCAAAGAACCCAGUCUCCAGCCAACCCAACUGAAUACAGACACAUGAGUGAACACCAGCAAGACCAGCAGACCAUCCAGCUAAGCCCAGCUCAGAUUAUAGAAUUGUGAGCAAAUAACCACUUGGUUGUUUUAAGCCACUAGUUUGGGGAUUUCUUUUUUUUUAAUACGAGCAACUGGUAACUUAAAAAUCUCAUCACUUCUGAAGACAGGAGAGUAAUAUACGAUCUUCCAAAGCAGUUUCAAGAUAAUUUGAUAGAUUACAUGUUUAGACAUUUAAAAUCAAGCAGAGGCCAGGUGUGGUGGCUCACACCUGUAAUCCUAGGCAUUUUGGCAGGCCAAGGCAAGAGGAUCAUUUGAGCCCAGGAGUUCGAGAUCAGCCUGUACAACACAGUGAGACCUCGCCUGUACAAACAAACAAACAAACAAUCAACAAAUAAAAUAAAAUAAAACAAGCAGAGUCAUGGUAGCAAUAAACCUUUUAAAAAAACCUAGCCCCCUCCCCCUCUCCCUCUCCCUCUCCACGGUCUCCCUCUCCCUCUCUCUCCACGGUCUCCCUCUUCCUCUCCCUCUCUCUCCACGGUCUCCCUCUGAUGCCGAGCCGAGGCUGGACUGUACUGCCGCCAUCUCGGCUCACUGCAACCUCCCUGCCUGAUUCUCCUGCCUCAGCCUGCCGAGUGCCUGGGAUUGCAGGCGCGCGCCGCCACGCCUGACUGGUUUUCGUAUUUUUUGGUGGAGACGGGGUUUCACUGUGUUGGCCGGGCUGGUCUCCAGCUCCUGACCGUGAGUGAUCUGCCCACCUCGGCCUCCCGAGGUGCCGGGAUUGCAGACGGAGUCUCGCUCACUCAGUGCUCAAUCUUGCCCAGGCUGGAGUGCGGUGGCAUGAUCUCAGCUCGCUACAACCUCCACCUCCCAGCCACCUGCCUUGGCCUCCCAAAGUGCCGAGAUUGCAGCCUCUGCCCGGCCGCCACCCCAUCUGGGAAGUGAGGAGCGUCUCUGCCUGGCCGACCAUCGUCUGGGAGGUGAGGAGCCCCUCUGCCCGGCCGCCCAGUCUGGGAAGUGAGGAGCGCCUCUUCCCGGCCGCCAUCCCGUCUAGGAAGGGGGGAGCAUCUCUGCCCGGCCGCCCAUCGUCUGAGAUGUGGGGAGCGCCUCUGCCCCGCCGCCCCGUCUGGGAUGUGAGGAGCGCCUCUGCCCGGCCGCGACCGCAUCUGGGAACUGAGGAGUGUCUCUGCCCGACUGCCACCCCGUCUGGGAGGUGAGGAGCGUCUGAGAAGUGAGGAGCCCCUCCGCCUGGCAGCCGCCCCGUCUGGGAAGUGAGGAGCGUCUCCGCCUGGCAGCCGCCCCGUCCGGGAGGGAGGUGGGGGGCAGCCCCCGCCCGGCCAGCUGCCCCGUCCGGGAGGGAGGUGGGGGGCAGCCCCUGCCCGGCAGCCGCCCCGUCCGGGAGGUGGGGGGCGCCUCCGCCCAGCCGCUGCCCUGUCUGGGAGGUGGGGGGCGCCUCUGCCCGGCCGCCCCCUCUGGGAAGUGAGGAGCCUCUCUGCCCAGCCGCCACCCCGUCUGGGAGGUGUACCCAACAGCUCAUUGAGAACAGGCCAUGAUGACGAUGGCGAUUUUGUCGAAUAGAAAAGGGGGAAAUGUGGGGAAAAGAAAGAAAAAUCAGAUUGUUACUGUGUCUGUGUAGAAAGAAGUAGACACAGGAGACUCCAUUUUGUUCUGUACUAAGAAAAAUUCUUCUGCCUUGGGAUGCUGUUAAUCUAUAACCUUACCCCCAACCCCGUGCUCUCUCAAACAUGUGCUGUGUCAACUCAGGGUUAAAUGGAUUAAGGGCGGUGCAAGAUGUGCUUUGUUAAACAGAUGCUUGAAGGCAGCAUGCUCCUUAAGAGUCAUCACCACUCCCUAAUCUCAAGUACCCAGGGACACAAACACUGCGGUCGGCCACAGGGUCCUCUGCCUAGGAAAACCAGAGACCCUUGUUCACAUGUUUAUCUGCUGACCUUCCCUCCACUAUUGUCCUAUGACCCUGCCAAAUCCGCCUCCCCAAGAAACACCCAAG
rnacentral:lncRNA from 1 species